CCUACGGGAGGCAGCAGUGAGGAAUAUUGGUCAAUGGUCGAGAGUCUGAACCAGUCAAGUAGCGUGAAGGAUGACUGUCCUAUGUGUUGUAAACUUCUUUUGUCAGGGAAUAAAACCUGGCACGUGUGCCUUUUUGCGUGUACUUUAUGAAUAAGCAUCGGCUAACUCCGUGCCAGCAGCCGCGGUAAUACGGAGGAUCCGAGCGUUAUCCGGAUUUAUUGGGUUUAAAGGGAGCGUAGAUGGGCUGUUAAGUCAGUUGUGAAAGUUUUCGGCUCAACCGUAAAAUUGCAAUUGAUCCUGGCAGUCUUGAGUACAGUUGAGGUAGGCGGAAUUCGUGGUGUAGCGGUGAAAUGCUUAGAUAUCACGAAGAACCCCGAUUGCGAAGGCAGCUUACUAAACUGUGACUGACAUUGAUGCUCGAAAGUGUGGGUAUCAAACAGGAUUAGAUACCCGGGUAGUC
rnacentral:rRNA from 1 species